rnacentral:rRNA from 1 species
AGUGAACGCUGGCGGUAGGCCUAACACAUGCAAGUCGAACGGCAGCACAGUAAGAGCUUGCUCUUACGGGUGGCGAGUGGCGGACGGGUGAGGAAUACAUCGGAAUCUACUUUUUCGUGGGGGAUAACGUAGGGAAACUUACGCUAAUACCGCAUACGACCUACGGGUGAAAGCAGGGGAUCUUCGGACCUUGCGCGAUUGAAUGAGCCGAUGUCGGAUUAGCUAGUUGGCGGGGUAAAGGCCCACCAAGGCGACGAUCCGUAGCUGGUCUGAGAGGAUGAGCAGCCACACGGGAACUGAGAGAAGGUAAAGAAGCCGACGGGAGGCAGAAGUGGGGAAGAGUGGACAAGGGGGGAAAGAAUGAUAAAGAAAGAAAGCGGGGGUGAAGAAGGAAGUAGGGUUGGAAAGAUAGUUUGCUGGGAAAGAAAAGAAGAAGGAUAAGAAAGCGCGGUUAUGACGGGAACCAAAGAAGAAGGAAAGGCGAAGGUAGGG